UUUUGGACAAUGGGGGAAACCCUGAUCCAGCCAUUCCGCGUGUGCGAUGAAGGCCUUCGGGUUGUAAAGCACUUUUGGCAGGAAAGAAAUCGCACAAAUUAAUACUUUGUGUGGAUGACGGUACCUGCAGAAUAAGCACCGGCUAACUACGUGCCAGCAGCCGCGGUAAUACGUAGGGUGCAAGCGUUAAUCGGAAUUACUGGGCGUAAAGCGUGCGCAGGCGGUUCGGAAAGAGAGGUGUGAAAUCCCAGGGCUUAACCUUGGAACUGCACUUUUAACUCCCGAGCUAGAGUAUGUCAGAGGGGGGUGGAAUUCCGCGUGUAGCAGUGAAAUGCGUAGAUAUGCGGAGGAACACCGAUGGCGAAGGCAGCCCCCUGGGAUGAUACUGACGCUCAUGCACGAAA
rnacentral:rRNA from 1 species